rnacentral:lncRNA from 1 species
UAUCCCGGAAGUACUGCAAUACCAGGUCGAUGCGUGGAGUGCUUUUGGCUAAGAUCAAGUGUAGUAUCUGUUCUUAUCAGUUUAAUAUCUGAUACGUCCUCUAUCCGAGGACAAUAUAUUAAAUGGAUUUUUGGAACAGGGAGAUGGAAUAGGAGCUUGCUCCGUCCACUCCACGCAUCGACCUGGUAUUGCAGUACUUCCGGGAACGGUGCAUCUCCCUCACGGGAGAACAUUUUGUUGAAAAAACAGAAAAAUACUUAUACCUUUUUUACGGGUCUUUAUAAGCUUUUUUUCUUAAUGUGUUAUUUACAUUACCCAUGGGUUCUUUCAGUGCGUUUUUUCGCUUUACUAUGAUGUUAUGUUUUUUGUAAGAAAUAAUUAUAAAGCUUGUUAAACUCAUCCGUCUAUUUCAUCAACUUUAAUUUUCUUUUUCGGGAAGAUGUUAUAAUUGCCAUCUCUAAAUUAUUUUCUCUUUAUUAUUCAUUGUGGUUCGAAUCCCUUUCGCCCCAUGCAGCUUUUUUUUCUUUUAAUUUCUUUUUCCCAAGAGGCAGGUUCUCCGUGGUAAAAAAAAAUGUAAAUAGCCAGGUGUGUUUAUUUGCCGAGUUUCAGGCUCAGACCUUCCUUCAAAGCCUUGGGGUGCUUCAGACACUGAGACAUACACAUGCACACGUCCGUGUCUAAAAGAAGAAAGCUGAUUUUCCACAUGUAACUUGACAGUCACAGUCUUUGUGGAUUGGAGUGGUUGGAGUGAAGAUUUAGCAUGAAUGGAUGAUUGGUAUUAAGAGCAGAAGAAACUUGUUCCCCAGCCUCAAACCCACUGCCCCUCCCAGUCUCCCCUUUCUGCCUAGCUAAUUCCAUGACAAGUACACCCUGGGAGAAAGAUGUAAAAUCCCACCCUGAGACCCUAAAGCACUGGAUCCUUGAACAAAGAUAAAGACAACGGGUGAACAACAUCCCUGCUGCUCUUCCCUCACCAUAGGAAGAAUAAAGUAUUUGGGACUCAAAACUGCUGAAAGAAU